rnacentral:rRNA from 1 species
UACGUAGGGCGCAAGCGUUGUCCGGAAUUAUUGGGCGUAAAGAGCUCGUAGGCGGUCUGUCGCGUCCGUUGUGAAAACUCGAGGCUCAACCUCGGGCUUGCAGUGGAUACGGGCAGACUAGAGUGCGGUAGGGGGAGACUGGAAUUCCUGGUGUAGCGGUGGAAUGCGCAGAUAUCAGGAGGAACACCGGUGGCGAAGGCGGAUCUCUGGGCCUUACCUGACGCUCAGGCGCGAAAGCUAGGGGAGCGAACAGG